GAUCAUAAGCCUGCCUCUAAUGUGGAGACUGAGACAUUCAUGCAGCCACAUGUCCCUAACACCAUCACAGUGCCUAUACAAACAAAAAAGGCUAAGAGUGAGUACAUGAUGAUCCACUGGGAACGAGCCACCAAUGGAGAGAUUCACUCUAAAGUCAUUAAGGGUGAUAUAUUUAAGACGAGAUGUGGUGGACAAUCAGUUCAAUUUACUACUAUUGAGACAAAACAAGAAUCGCCAAAUGGCAGUCAGAAAUGAAGAUCGUCCACACUAGCCCCAGCCCAACCAGAUGGUAAAGCGUCUGAAUGUAGAAACAAGAUGUGCUGUAGCAUACCCAGCUUCCCAUGGGUUCUAGGGAUCCAAGAGUACUUUAUCCACUGAACAUUCUCCCUAGGCCAGCAUCUGUAUUUUUUAAGUUGUUUUUUGUUGUUGAUAUUGUUCAUAUCUUUAUCUGAAUGAGUUAUAAGCCUCUACUGUUUUUACUCAUUGAAAUGUUUAAAUUAUUCCAAAUAAAGCUUGCCUCUGGUGUCCCCUUU